GAGUGGAACUUACUCCUUACCGUACGAUCACCGAAGUUAAGCAACAUCGAACCUGGUCGGUACUUAAAUGGGUGACCGCUUGGGAAUACCUGGUAUU